rnacentral:rRNA from 1 species
AUUGAACGCUGGCGGCAGGCUUAACACAUGCAAGUCGAGCGGAGAUGAGGUGCUUGCACCUUAUCUUAGCGGCGGACGGGUGAGUAAUGCUUGGGAAUCUGCCUAUUAGUGGGGGACAACAUUCCGAAAGGAAUGCUAAUACCGCAUACGCCCUACGGGGGAAAGCAGGGGAUCUUCGGACCUUGCGCUAAUAGAUGAGCCUAAGUCGGAUUAGCUAGUUGGUGGGGUAAAGGCCUACCAAGGCGACGAUCUGUAGCGGGUCUGAGAGGAUGAUCCGCCAAACUGGGACUGGGACACGGCCCAGACUCCUACGGGAGGCAGCAGUGGGGAAUAUUGGACAAUGGGCGGAAGCCUGAUCCAGCCAUGCCGCGUGUGUGAAGAAGGCCUUUUGGUUGUAAAGCACUUUAAGCGAGGAGGAGGCUACCUGGAUUAAUACUCUAGGAUAGUGGACGUUACUCGCAGAAUAAGCACCGGCUAACUCUGUGCCAGCCGCCGCGGUAACAC